AACGAACGCUGGCGGCAGGCUUAACACAUGCAAGUCGAACGCAUCCUUCGGGGUGAGUGGCAGACGGGUGAGUGACGCGUGGGAACGUGCCCUUCAGUUCGGGAUAACCCAGGGAAACUUGGGCUAAUACCGGAUACGUGCGAGAGCAGAAAGAUUUAUCGCUGAAGGAUCGGCCCGCGUCUGAUUAGCUAGUUGGUGGGGUAAUGGCCCACCAAGGCGACGAUCGGUAGCUGGUCUGAGAGGAUGAUCAGCCACAUUGGGACUGAGACACGGCCCAAACUCCUACGGGAGGCAGCAGUGGGGAAUAUUGGACAAUAGGCGCAAGCCUGAUCCAGCCAUGCCGCGUGAGUGAUGAAGGCCUUAGGGUUGUAAAGCUCUUUCGUCCGGGACGAUAAUGACGGUACCGGAAGAAGAAGCCCCGGCUAACUUCGUGCCAGCCGCCGCAGUAA
rnacentral:rRNA from 1 species